GACGAACGCUGGCGGCGUGCCUAACACAUGCAAGUGGAGCGACGAACCAGGGCUUGCCCUGGGGCAAAGCCGCGAACGGGUGAGUAACACGUGGGUAACCUGCCCCGAUGACCGGGACAACCCGAGGAAACUCGGGCUAAUACCGGAUGUGAUCUUCACACAUCAGUGUGUUGAGUAAAGGAAGCUUCGGCCUCCGCUUCGGGAGGGGCCCGCGGCCCAUUAGCUAGUUGGUGAGGUAAAGGCUCACCAAGGCAACGAUGGGUAGCUGGUCUGAGAGGACGAUCAGCCACACUGGGACUGAGACACGGCCCAGACUCCUACGGGAGGCAGCAGUGGGGAAUCUUGCGCAAUGCGCGAAAGCGUGACGCAGCAACGCCGCGUGGGGGAAGAAGGCCUUCGGGUUGUAAACCCCCUUUCAGGAGGGACGAAGGUUCGGCCGCGAAUAGCGGUCCGGACUGACGGUACCUCCAGAAGAAGCCCCGGCUAACUACGUGCCAGCCGCCGCAGUAA
rnacentral:rRNA from 1 species